rnacentral:rRNA from 1 species
UACGUAGGGUGCAAGCGUUGCCCGGAAUUAUUGGGCGUAAAGAGCUCGUAGGCGGUCUGUUGCGUCGGCUGUGAAAACCCGGGGCUCAACUCCGGGCCUGCAGCCGAUACGGGCAGACUAGAGUUCGGCAGGGGAGACUGGAAUUCCUGGUGUAGCGGUGAAAUGCGCAGAUAUCAGGAGGAACACCGGUGGCGAAGGCGGGUCUCUGGGCCGAUACUGACGCUGAGGAGCGAAAGCGUGGGGAGCAAACAGG